GGGGACAUGGCGGAACUGGCAGACGCGCUAGGUUCAGGACCUAGUGGCUAUAAGAGCCGUGAGAGUUCAAAUCUCUCUGUCCCCA
rnacentral:tRNA from 1 species